UAACCGAGUAUAAUUAAAUAGGCCACGC
rnacentral:sRNA from 1 species